CUACGUGCCAGCAGCCGCGGUAAUACGGAAGGUCCAGGCGUUAUCCGGAUUUAUUGGGUUUAAAGGGAGCGUAGGCCGGAGAUUAAGUGUGUUGUGAAAUGUAGACGCUCAACGUCUGACUUGCAGCGCAUACUGGUUUCCUUGAGUACGCACAACGUUGGCGGAAUUCGUCGUGUAGCGGUGAAAUGCUUAGAUAUGACGAAGAACUCCGAUUGCGAAGGCAGCUGACGGGAGCGCAACUGACGCUUAAGCUCGAAGGUGCGGGUAUCAAACAGGAUUAGAUACCCUGGUAGUCCGCACAGUAAACGAUGGAUGCCCGCUGUUGGUACCUGGUAUCAGCGGCUAAGCGAAAGCAUUAAGCAUCCCACCUGGGGAGUACGCCGGCAACGGUGAAACUCAAAGGAAUUGACGGGGGCCCGCACAAGCGGAGGAACAUGUGGUUUAAUUCGAUGAUACGCGAGGAACCUUACCCGGGCU
rnacentral:rRNA from 1 species